CUUUCAAGAUGCCCCAUAGACUUUUCACAAAGUGCAUCUAUCUUCUCCACACCUAUUCCCAGAGCUUCCUUGACUGUGCAGAGAGAGAGGCAGAGCUGCAGCAGGAGUGACCGUGAUAAAAUGAGGGGCCAGGAGGGAGCAUGGUGUGCUGCAAGGGAAGAUGAGUAACAGCAGCACCUGCAGCUCUCCGAUAGCACUGCCCAUCCCUUGGCCGUGCCUGUGGGCCCUGGUGCUGCUGCAGGCUCUCUGGCUCCAUGCCAGACACUGCUGGGGCAUCCGUUGAGUUUCUUAUCCUCCCCUGACAGCUGCUGGUGUCCUUUGGCACUUUGGAGCCAAGGGCAAAAACAGCCCUCCCUUGGGGUGGAUGUGGGAGGAGUAUGACUGGCAAUGCAUCCAGUUGAAGCUGUUCCUGGUGCCGGGGUGUUGAAAUGCUGUAAACCCUUAACUGUCAAGUCCUCCAGCAUCACUGGGUUAGAAAGGAGAUCCAAGACGGACACAGGGAGGGAACCAGUUUGAAGCUCAAGGAAGGAGACCCCCAGCUCUCUGUGAAGGAUGGGCGUGAGCUGGCAUCGAGUCAGAACGUCCUUGUGAAGGUGGGAGAGAACUGGAGCGUUGGGGCUCCUCUGCCUUUGAAACCACCUUUGUGUGAGCAAGAACUGGAGCUGUCCUGCAUAGAGAGUAUUUACAUUACCAAACAUGGUGAUGAUGAGCAUCUUGGGAUCUUGCGAGGCUGUAUUGUUAAGCACUGGUUUGGUUGUGAAAUUGGCAGGCUGGAAAAUAUUUCUAUCAUCGGAGGUGGUGCUGCAGGGUAUUGCCUCCAUUUGGGGUCUGUUUUUAGUACAUUCUGGAAUACUGCAAAGCAUGUGCGACAACCAGUGACUGCAGCAGGAAUUUGGAUACCUCUCUACAUUCCCAUGUCCUGAUCUGUGAGUUCAACCCCACCCAACCCUACAGGGAGAGUUUUAAAGCAGGACUGGUGGUUUGGAGAUUGGAAGUGUGUGCUGAGUAUUUCAGAAAGUUCAGGGCAAAAAGGGAAUUUGUCUCUUCACCUCAAGGAAUUCAACGCCCUUUAUUUCAGCAAAGAAAUUACAGAUUAAAAAGAAAAAGAAAUUUCAGUGAUUUCCAGAGCCCAGGCUUCAUGGCUGCUCCUGACUUGGGUAAAGAUUAGAUGAGGUUGGCUACUUCUUUGCUACUUUUUCAUAGAUGCUUUAUUUUUUCAUUGUGGAGGUUAAUUACCUAAGUGUGCAUAAAAGUAGAGGGGAGAAGAGUAUCUCGUAUCAACUGUGGGUUUCUGCAUCUGCUCUGGACCACUCUGCUUCAAGGCUUUAUCUCACUACUGUAGCACAAUACUGAUAAAAAACUGUUACUGCAUCACCAAAGCCAACCACAAAUUUAAAGAGUAGAGCUGGUAGUCUUCGGUGGACCUCCUCUAUCCUUCAAAAUUUGAAAAGAAAUGCUUUUUCAAGGAGCAUAAUACUGAAUUUUGUGUCACUUCUUCCAAGCCCCCAAACAUUUAUUUUCUGAGUUAUUAAAAUCAGCCUCUGGAAGAGCUUCCUAACUUGCUCUUUUAGCAGUCCUUCUGGAAGGAAUCUGGACAUACUGAUAUUAAAGCAUUACUCUAGUUGUGACUGUUUUACAUUGCUUGAUUAUGACUAGAGUCAAAAAUACUCUUCCUUUCCUUGUGAUGUGAAUACAACCUGUGGUUUUCUCCCUGACAAAGAAUAAACAUAUUUGAUGAACGCUCCUGAUUUCUUCAUUAUUCUUGACUCUUCUGAUAUUCUUAUUGUUGAUGGGCUAAUAGUAUAGGUAGGGAUACUCUUGUUCCUAAUGUAAACAACUUCUUUUUAGUCUUCAGUCCUUCCUUAUAGCUUGCUUGUUCUUGAUACAGCUUCUUGAAACUGGCUGUCUUGUAACACUUUGUGUUUUUAACUUACUUGUAUGGGAAUCAUACAAACCAAUCAUUUCC
ensembl:lncRNA